GAGUUGCGAACGGGUGAGUAACGCGUAGGUAACCUGCCUGGUAGCGGGGGAUAACUAUUGGAAACGAUAGCUAAUACCGCAUAACAGUAGAUAUCGCAUGAUAGCUGCUUGAAAGGUGCAAUUGCACCACUACCAGAUGGACCUGCGUUGUAUUAGCUAGUUGGUGAGGUAACGGCUCACCAAGGCAACGAUACAUAGCCGGCCUGAGAGGGUGACCGGCCACACUGGGACUGAGACACGGUCCAGACUCC
rnacentral:rRNA from 1 species